UUUCAGUGUGAUCUCUCAGUUAGGGUUUGAGUUUGUUCAUCAGGUACAGUCCGAUCUCUCAGUUAGGGUUUGAGUUAGUUCAUCAGUUUGAUCUUCAACAGCUUAAGUUGCAGGAAGAUCUUCACAGG